rnacentral:rRNA from 1 species
ACGAACGCUGGCGGCGUGCUUAACCCCUGCCAGUCGCACGGAAAGGCCCUGCUUUUGUGGGGUGCUCGAGUGGCGAACGGGUGAGUAACACGUGAGUAACCUGCCCUUGACUUUGGGAUAACUUCAGGAAACUGGGGCUAAUACCGGAUAGGAGCUCCUGCUGCAUGGUGGGGGUUGGAAAGUUUCGGCGGUUGGGGAUGGACUCGCGGCUUAUCCGCUUGUUGGUGGGGUAGUGGCUUACCAAGGCUUUGACGGGUAGCCGGCCUGAGAGGGUGACCGGCCACAUUGGGACUGAGAUACGGCCCAGACUCCUACGGGAGGCAGUAGUGGGGAAUAUUGCACAAUGGGCGGAAGCCUGAUGCAGCAACGCCGCGUGCGGGAUGACGGCCUUCGGGUUGUAAACCGCUUUCGCCUGUGACGAAGCGUGAGUGACGGUAAUGGGUAAAGAAGCACCGGCUAACUACGUG